AUGCCAUCUAGCUCACAGUAUGCAUAUAUAAGUCUCUACGUCGCACGCGCGCUCUCGAGCGAGCGAGCGCUCACGGAGAAGAGGAUGGCAUGCAAGCGGCAAUGUGUGCCGACGCUGGUGCUUGUGGUGUGGUUGGCCGUGUCGGCGGCGCAACAGGAAUGCAACGCGCAGACGAGGGGGAGUGGGAAGGAUAAUCUGACCAGAGGGAGCUUCCCCAAGGGCUUCGUCUUCGGCACCGCAGCAUCCGCCUACCAGUACGAGGGGGCCGUCAAUGUGGAUGGAAGAGGCCCUACAAUUUGGGACAAAUUCGCACACACGUUUGGGAAGAUCCUUGACUUCAGCAAUGCCGAUGUUGCUGUUGACCACUACCACCGUUUUGAGGAGGACAUUCAGCUCAUGGCAGAUAUGGGAUUGGAUGCCUACAGAUUCUCAAUUGCAUGGUCUCGGAUUCUCCCAAAUGGCACCGGUGAGGUCAACCAGGCAGGCAUUGUCCACUACAACAAGGUCAUUGAUGCACUCCUGGCAAAAGAGAUUGAGCCGUAUGUUACCCUCUACCACUGGGACCUUCCCCUGGCCCUGGAAGACAAGUACAAUGGGUUGCUUGACAGGCAGAUAAUCAACGACUACGCGGCGUAUGCGGAGACGUGUUUCAAGGCGUUUGGGGACAGGGUGAAGCGCUGGAUCACCUUCAACGAGCCACACACGGUGGCGGUGCAGGGCUACGACAGCGGGAUCCACGCGCCGGGCCGCUGCUCCGUGCUCCGCCACCUCUGCUGCAAACAAGGGAGCUCCGGCACCGAGCCCUACAUUGUCGCUCACAACAUCAUCCUCGCUCACGCCACGGUUUCAGACAUCUAUAGGAAGAAGUACAAGGCAGAGCAGAAUGGAGAGGUGGGGAUGUCGUUGGAUGUGAUAUGGUACGAGCCUGUCUCAAACUCCACAGCUAAUGUUGAGGCCGCGAAGAGAGCACAAGAGUUCCAGCUAGGAUGGUUUGCCGACCCCUUCUUCUUCGGCGAUUACCCGGCGACAAUGAGAUCGAGGGUUGGAGAAAGGCUGCCGAGGUUCAUGACCAAAGAGGCCCAUCUGGUGAAGGGGUCGCUGGACUUCGUGGGGAUCAAUCACUACACCACAUUCUACACUAAGGAAGACCAUUCCACUGUCAUCAAAUACUUGCUGAAUGAUACCUUGGCAGACAGCGGAUCCGUCAGCCUCCCCUUCAGAAAUGGGAAGGCAAUUGGAGAUAAGGCCAAUUCAAUAUGGUUGUACAUUGUGCCUGGCAGCAUGAGGAGGCUCAUGAACUAUGUCAAAGAUAGAUACAACACUCCAACUGUCUACAUCACUGAAAAUGGGAUGGAUGACAGCAACAGCCCCUUCAUCUCCCUCAAGAAGGCCCUCAAGGACUCAAAAAGGAUCAACUACCACAAUGACUACCUCACAAAUCUAGCUGAUUCUAUAAGGGAGGACGGUUGCGAUGUUCGCGGGUAUUUUGUGUGGUCUCUUCUCGACAAUUGGGAGUGGACUGCUGGAUACACCUCGAGAUUCGGGUUGUACUUCGUGGACUACAAGGAUAACCUCAAGAGAUACCCCAAGAACUCAGUCCAGUGGUUCAAGAAUUUGUUGGCAUCUUCCUGA
rnacentral:rRNA from 1 species